UCCAACCUUCCCCUAUAGUAGAGGAAUAGACCCGGCGAAAGUCGGAUUAAUACUCUAUGUUUUCCAAUGCAGACAUCUAAGUUGGAACAAAGGUUCACCGCUAUAGGAUGGGGAUGCGUCUGAUUAGGUAGUCGGCGGGGUAACGGCCCACCGAGCCAACGAUCCAGUAGGGGUUCUGAGAGGAAGGUCCCCCCACAUUGGAACUGAGACACGGUCCAAACUCCUACGGGAGGCAGCAGUGAGGAAUAUUGGUCAAUGGGCGAGAGCCUGAACCAGCCAAGGUUAAGCGUGCAGGAUGACCGGCCCUAUGGGUUGUAAACUGUCUUUUAGUACGGGGAUAAAGUGAGGGACGUGUCCCUUUUUGUAGGUACCGUAUGAAUAAGGACCGGCUAAUUCCGUGCCAGCAGCAGC
rnacentral:rRNA from 1 species